GGAGUGGUAGUUCAGUUGGUUCGAUUGCUGUCUUGCACAUAUGUGGGGAUUGGUGGUCGCGGGUUCGAGUCCCGUACAAUGCG
rnacentral:tRNA from 1 species